AAGGGUAUAGCUCAGUGGUUAGAGUGUUUGCUUAGCAUGUAUGAGGUCCUGGGUUCAACCCCCAGCACCUCCA
rnacentral:tRNA from 1 species